UACGAAGGGGGCUAGCGUUGCUCGGAAUCACUGGGCGUAAAGGGUGCGUAGGCGGGUUUUUAAGUCAGGGGUGAAAUCCUGGAGCUCAACUCCAGAACUGCCUUUGAUACUGAAGAUCUUGAGUCCGGGAGAGGUGAGUGGAACUGCGAGUGUAGAGGUGAAAUUCGUAGAUAUUCGGAGGAACACCAGAAGCGAAGGCGGCUCACUGGCCCGAUACUGACGCUGAGGCGCGAAAGCGUGGGGAGCAAACAGG
rnacentral:rRNA from 1 species